UUAAGUAAGGAAGGGCGUACGGCGAAUGCCUUGCCACUCGAAACUGAAGAAGGACGCGCCAAACUGCGAAAAGCUCCGUGAAGCUGUAAGGAAGCGAAGAAGCGGAGGUGUCCGAAUGGGGGAACCCGGCAGCAGACAUGAGCUGUCAUCUGCAGGUGAAUACAUGGCCUGCAAGAGAGGUACCCGGCGAACUGAAACAUCUAAGUAGCCGGAGGAAAAGAAAACAACAGUGAUUCCCUGAGUAGCGGCGAGCGAAAGGGGAGAAGCCCAAACCGGUUGAAGGACCGGGGUUGAAGGACCAUGACAUGGCAAGAACGAGGAUAGGAGAACGGGAUCGAAAGCCCGGCCGAAGAAGGUGAAAGCCCUGUAACCGAAAUCCGAGUAAAGCCUAAUGGGAUCCUGAGUACGGCGAGACACGAGAAAUCUUGUCGGAAGCAGGCGGGACCAUCCGCCAAGGCUAAAUAUAAACGAGUGAGCGAUAGUGAACCAGUACCGUGAGGGAAAGGUGAAAAGAACCGCGGGAGCGGAGUGAAAGAGAACCUGAAACCGUAUGCCUACAAGAAGUCAGAGCCCGUUAAGGGGUGAUGGCGUGCCUUUUGUAGAAUGAACCGGCGAGUUGCGACAGACUGCGAGGUUAAGGAGGAAAGACCGGAGCCGAAGCGAAAGCGAGUCUUAAGAGGGCGAAAGUAGGAUGUUGCAGACCCGAAACCGGGUGAUCUAGCCAUGAGCAGGUUGAAGUUGAGGUGAAACUCAAUGGAGGACCGAACCGACUACCGUUGAAAAGUUAGCGGAUGACUUGUGGCUAGGGGAGAAAUUCCAAUCGAACCCGGAGAUAGCUGGUUCUCCCCGAAAUAGCUUUAGGGCUAGCGUCGGAAAGAACCUUAGUGAAGGUAGAGCACUGAAUGUGUGAUGGCCCCAUCCCGGGGUACUGAAUACAAUCAAACUGCGAAUGUCAUUAAGGAUGUCCGGCAGUCAGACUGUGAGUGAUAAGGUCCAUGGUCAAGAGGGAAACAGCCCAGACCGCCAGUUAAGGUCCCAAAAUACAGGCUAAGUGGAAAAGGAUGUGGGGAUGCCCAGACAACUAGGAGGUUGGCUCAGAAGCAGCCAUCCUUUAAAGAGUGCGUAACAGCUCACUAGUCGAGUGACCCUGCGCCGAAAAUGUACCGGGGCUAAGCCUGAUACCGAAACUGCGGAUUGUAGGAAACUAUAGUGGUAGGGGAGCGUUGUAUACGAGCAGAAGCCGUACCGUGAGGAGCGGUGGAUUGUAUAGAAGUGAGAAUGCCGGUGUGAGUAGCGAGAUGUAGGUGAGAAUCCUACACACCGAAAGCCCAAGGAUUCCAGGGGAAGGUUCGUCCGCCCUGGGUAAGUCGGGACCUAACGCGAGGCCGAAAGGCGUAGUGGAUGGAAAGCAGGCGAAAGAUUCCUGCACCCGUAUAUGGAGCGAAGGAGUGACGGAGACGGAUAGUGUGACCCUCUUAAUGGAUUGAGGGCGAAGCGAAGCGGCUGGUUACCAGGCAAAUCCGGUAACCAUAAGGCUAGAGCGUGACAGGUAAGCGAAAUCUUAGGAAAGUAGCGAAGCACAUGAUGACGGCUUCCAGGAAAAGCUUCUGGCAAUGCAUAUGCGGCCCGUACCAAAACCGACACAGGUGGGCAGGGAGAGAAUCCCGAGGUGAGCGAGAGAACUGUUGCCAAGGAACUCGGCAAAAUGACUCCGUAAGUUAGCGAGAAGGAGUGCUUAAGCAAUUAAGCCGCAGUGAAGAGGCCCAAGCGACUGUUUAACUAAAACACAGCUCUCUGCGAAGUCGCAAGACGAAGUAUAGGGGGUGACACCUGCCCGGUGCUGGAAGGUUAAGAGGAUCUGUUAAGAGCGAUCUGAAGCAGUGAUCCGAAGCCCCAGUGAACGGCGGCCGUAACUAUAACGGUCCUAAGGUAGCGAAAUUCCUUGUCAGGUAAGUUCUGACCCGCACGAAAGGUGUAACGAUUUGGGCGCUGUCUCGGCAGCAGACUCGGUGAAAUCUUAGUACCUGUGAAAAUGCAGGUUACCCGCAACUAGACGGAAAGACCCCAUGGAGCUUUACUGCAGCCUGAUAUUGAAUUCUGGUCAUACAUGUACAGGAUAGGUGGGAGACAAAGAGACGUGCACGCCAGUGUACGAGGAGUCGACGUUGGGAUACCACUCUUGUGUGACCGGGGUUCUAACCUGGUAUCGAGAACAGGUACGGGGAGAGUGUCAGGUGGGCAGUUUGACUGGGGCGGUCGCCUCCCAAAGAGUAACGGAGGCGCCCAAAGGUUCCCUCAGAAUGGUUGGAAAUCAUUCGAAGAGUGUAAAGGCAGAAGGGAGCUUGACUGCGAGACCUACAAGUCGAGCAGGGACGAAAGUCGGGCUUAGUGAUCCGGCGGUGCCGAAUGGAAGGGCCGUCGCUCAACGGAUAAAAGCUACCCUGGGGAUAACAGGCUGAUCUCCCCCAAGAGUCCACAUCGACGGGGAGGUUUGGCACCUCGAUGUCGGCUCAUCACAUCCUGGGGCUGUAGUAGGUCCCAAGGGUUGGGCUGUUCGCCCAUUAAAGCGGUACGCGAGCUGGGUUCAGAACGUCGUGAGACAGUUCGGUCCCUAUCUGUUGUGGGCGAAGGAGAUCUGCGGAGAGCUGUCCUCAGUACGAGAGGACCGGGAUGGACCUACCGCUGGUGCACCGGUUGUUCCGCCAGGGGCAUAGCCGGGUAGCUAAGUAGGGAAAGGAUAAGCGCUGAAAGCAUCUAAGCACGAAGCCUACUCCAAGAUGAGAUCUCCCAUUCGCAAGAAGUAAGACCCCUUAAAGACGAUAAGGUAGAUAGGCCAGGGAUGGAAGUGCAGUGAUGUACGGAGUUGACUGGUACUAAUCGGUCGAGGACUUAAUCAG
rnacentral:rRNA from 1 species